CCAACGGCACUUUUCAGUGCCACGAAAAAUCAGUAAAAGAGUACUU
rfam:Danio rerio chromosome 15, GRCz11 reference primary assembly.